rnacentral:rRNA from 1 species
UACGGAGGGGGCUAGCGUUGUUCGGAAUUACUGGGCGUAAAGCGUCCGCAGGUGGUUUAUCAAGUCUGCUGUUAAAGCACAGGGCUUAACCCUGUAAAGGCAGUGGAAACUGUGAGACUAGAGUACGGUAGGGGUAGCGGGAAUUCCUAGUGUAGCGGUGAAAUGCGUAGAUAUUAGGAAGAACACCAGCGGCGAAGGCGCGCUACUGGGCCGAAACUGACACUGAUGGACGAAAGCUAGGGGAGCGAAAGGG